GACGAACGCUGGCGGCGCGCUUAACACAUGCAAGUCGAGCGAUGAAAUCUUAACAGCACCCUUCGGGGUGAAGAUAAGACGGAUUAACGGCGGACGGGUGAGUAACACGUGAGUAACCUGCCUUUUACACAGGGAUAGACUCAGGAAACCGGGAUUAAAACAUGAUGAAACUAUCAAAUCACAUGCUCAAGCAGAUUAAAACUCCGGUGGUAAAAGAUGGACUCGAGUGCCAUCCGAUAGUUGGGGAAGGUAACGGCCCAUCAAGGCAACGAUGGCAAGCUGGACUGAGAGGAUGAUCGGCAACAUUGGAACUGGGAAACGUGCCAAAUUCCGACGGAAGGCAGCAGUGGUGAAUAUGGCACAACGGGUGAAUCCCUAAGGCAGUGACACUGCAAAAGAGAAGAAGUCCUGCGGAUGGUAAAGCUCUUUAAAAUUGGAUGAUAAGGACGGUACCAUAAGAAAAAGCCCCGGCUAACUACUU
rnacentral:rRNA from 1 species